CUGCAGAAGGCUCACCACUUGGCCUGCAAGCCCAUUCGCAUUACUACUUAAGCAGAUGACUCAUGAGGAGAUGAAUCAGCCCAGAGCAGCACUUGCACUUUAGUCACAUGGAUGGGAAGACGAGAGACAUUUUCCCUUAAUUAGAAAUGAUGGCCCCACCUGGACCUGCCAACCAGUUCUGUGGCCCCAACACAGGAACUGACUCAGCACAAGACAACGGCUUCAACUCCCUGUGACUUCAUCCCUGAGCUAACCAAUCAACAUUCCCGAUUCACUGGACCCCUACCCACCAAAUUAUCCUUAAAAACUCUGAUCCCCAGGUUUUCAGAGAGACUGAUUUGAGUAAUAAUAAAACUCAUCUCCU
rnacentral:lncRNA from 1 species